UAGGGAAUCUUCCACAAUGGACGCAAGUCUGAUGGAGCAACGCCGCGUGAGUGAAGAAGGUUUUCGGAUCGUAAAGCUCUGUUGUUGGUGAAGAAGGAUAGAGGCAGUAACUGGUCUUUAUUUGACGGUAAUCAACCAGAAAGUCACGGCUAACUACGUGCCAGCAGCCGCGGUAAUACGUAGGUGGCAAGCGUUGUCCGGAUUUAUUGGGCGUAAAGCGAGCGCAGGCGGAAUGAUAAGUCUGAUGUGAAAGCCCACGGCUCAACCGUGGAACUGCAUCGGAAACUGUCAGUCUUGAGUGCAGAAGAGGAGAGUGGAAGUCCAUGUGUAGCGGUGGAAUGCGUAGAUAGAUGGAAGGACACCAGUGGCUAAGGCGGCUCUCUGGUCUGCAACUGACGCUGAGGCUCGAAAGCAUGGGUAGCGAACAGG
rnacentral:rRNA from 1 species